rnacentral:lncRNA from 1 species
UUAAUAUUAUCUAGCCAUAGGCUUACUAUUAUAUUUAUUCUUUAGAAAGUUAAAUAAUAUUAAAUGAAAUAAAAUUACAUUGUAGAAGGUCACCGGCCAAAGCACAUAAACUUAUAAACAAAUGUAAAUAAAAAAAGUAAAUAAUAUAAAAUAAAAUAAAAUUACAUUUUAAAAGGUCACUAGCCAAAGCACAUAACAUUAUAAAUAAACUGUAAAUACAAUAGAAAGUAAAGGGUUAAAUGAAAUUCAACAUUACGAAAGAUAUAAAUUGGUGGUACCUUGCAACUGUUGCAAGGUACCUGGAUCCGAAUUUGCAAUGCUUUUUCAAGAAAAAAAAAUGUGUCAACAUUGUGAAUUGGAGUGGUAGAAUAUAGGGGUGUUCAGAAUCCAAUCUGAUCCGCUCAAUCUAUCCGAUCCGCUGAAUCCGAUCCGUGGAUUGGAUAUGGAUUGAAAAUUUAAAAAUCCGCAGUCAAUGGAUUGGAUAUGGAUUUACUUCUGUAAAUCCACAGAAAUCCGUGAAUCUACAAAAAAAAAAAAAAAUAUAUAUAUAUAUAUAUAAUUAAAAAUUAUUAUAAAUUUAAUUAAAAAAAUUAUAAACGUGACAUUGCAUAGUUACUAAGCACUAUAACAUAUCUUAGCCAUUACCCAAUGAUAAUAUAAAAUGAAAAAUAAUUAAAUAAUCAAAUAUACAAAUAUAACUUGUAAAAAUUGUAAAACAAAAUAAAAGCAAAGUCACACGCACUAGCAAAAGUAAAGUAACAUAAUGCCAAGUCACCAACAAUUUGCAAACAAAAAAUCCUAACCUUCCCCGUCGUCACACACACUAGCAACACUCAAUACUGAUUGGAUACACUCUCGACACAGAUUUAAAGGACAUCGGCCACGCGAUUCUGGCGAGAGCAAGCCAUCUUCUUUCCCAAGUCCAUCAAGCCACUUCACAUUCACUGGUUCCAGCUGAACAAUUUCAUUAUCACAACCUUCAAGAUCGUCACCCGUACGGCUUCUCCUGGUUCCCAUCGUAGAUGGCUCCGUAAUCACCACUUUUCGACAGGCGCAACAGCCCUGGUGAAGGAUCAAACUGUGUUUGGUUUCCGAAACUUCACCAUUUCAAUUAAUUGUGGCUUUAUUUGAACAAUUAAUUUUGGUGUUAUAUUAACGUAUUAUUGUAACUUUAUUUGAACAAUUAAGCUUGGUGUGUUAUAUUUUGAAACUUUGAACGUAUUAUUGUAGCUUUAUUUGAAUAAUUAGUCUCGAUGUGUUAUAUUUUGAAACUUUAAAUGUAUUAUUUUAGCUUAAACAAUUAAUUUAUUUAAAUUUUAUUCAAUUUUAAAUUUAAUUGGUAGCAAAAUUAUUUUUAUAUUAGAUUUUUUUAUUUUAUUAGUUGGAGAGAACUAAAAGUUUUUAAUUCAAAAACUAAUGCGCAAAAUGGUGGAUUGCAUAUGGAUUGAGUUAAAUCCGCAUCCGAUCCGCAGACGUAUGGAUUGGAUAUGGAUUGAGUCAAAUCCGCAUCCGAUCCGUAGAUGUAUGGAUUGGAUUUGGAUUGAAUUUUAUCAAUCCGUGGAUUGGACUAGAUUGAAAAAUUAUAAUCCGCAAAAUCAUGGAUCGGAUAUGGAUUGAUGUCCAAUCCGUAAAAUCUGAUCCGCGAACACUACUAGUAGAAUAAGGUACCAAAAACAUAAAUCUUUUUUCAUUAUAUUUGGGAUUAUUCUUAAAGGUUAGUAUUUUCUUUUUUUUUCCUUUUUUAUUGAAUUGAUUUAACUUAAAUAUUAGCCUGAUUAUUGAUUUCUAGGGUUUUCAAUUGAUUUAAGUUUUACAUUAUUGUUUUGUGUUGGUUUGAGUUUUACAUCCAAUUUUAAGACUUUGAAGGCUUUCAAGAAAUUAUCUUGGAUGAUGAGCAUGAGUAAUAGCUUGAAAAUUAAUUUACUGUAUCAAAUAUCCAUUUAGUGUAUUGUAUUAAUUUUAAGAACUAUGAAUCAUUCAACGAAUAUUCUAGUAAAAGGUUAUGUUAUAUGUGAAUGUCUUAAUAUAUAAUAAUUAUAUUUUAAAGUUUGCUUUCUUUUUUGUCCCUUCUAUGUGU